AAUCAAAUGAUGGAAUCAUUUUUAUGAUCUUUGUUUUAACUCAGUGUCUUAUGAAGAUUCAAAAGAGGAUCAGUCCAUGCAGUCAACCCAAGAGACCCGUCCCUCUCCUUUAGAGACCCAACAACAUUCCUUCCUUUGCCUUCUCUUGAAUUCUACUGCUACCUUGUUGCUAUAGAAACUGACCCUGCCCAACAAUGCCUACCUAUUACUGUAUGAAAAUAUUUUAAUUUUUAUCUCACCUCUUGAAAAGAUUUUUAGUACCUCCUCCUCCUUGCCCUGUAGUACAAACACUAGACUGGACACUUAAACCUAAUAAGAGCUUUAAUGUCUUGUCAUGGUAUUGAUAAGUUCUCCUAUACUGAUACUUUGGUACCAGACAUACGUCAAAUUUCCUAUUCCCAGCCUCACUUUUAGUCUCACAAUCAAGGGAUCCUGAGGCUAAGGGUAUACUAAACAUUGAGCCAAAGUGAGUACACACACUCUUAUUAAAAAAUAUAAAAUGUGAA